rnacentral:lncRNA from 1 species
ACAGCUUAGGAUUGUAGAGAAACCCCUAUAAAUGAGAGAGGUCUUGAAGAAAGUCAGAUCCUGAGUUAAAAAGACUUAUAAUGCUCGAAUAUGUCGGAGUAAUGGCCGGAGAAACCAUAGAUCUGCAUAUCUAAGAAGGUCUUGGAGGGAACCAGUGAAGUCAGGCUUCACAGCCUUGAAUAGCUUAGGUCUAAUGGAGAGAAAGGAUGAGUACAGACCAUCCAUGGCCUGAGACGCCAUGGAUUCCGGUGGAAACACGGUGAAGUGAAAUAAGGUGGGAGACGAUUAGGGUUCCAGGAAGGUUCGAGAGAGUUUGAGA